GUGUGUCUGUGUGUAGAGGUCCAAAAUCAGAAAUCCUAAUGUAGAACAGACUUACACAACACUGCAAAGCGAACCACAAAUCGACAACACCAAACAAUCAGAACUUCUAACAGGUGAACAACAUAAACAGCUGUGACGAUAUAUAAAUGUAAACAACAAAGAUCGGGUUCGGUUCCGGACCCAGCGUACCCGCCCUACCAUGAGGCGAUUACCUACUCCCACAUUUGGCCAUUAGAUGGCCUGCAUCAGCCUGUGCCGGCUGUUAUCCAACUCUCCCCAUCAAUGCAAAUUUAGCCUGACAUUUGUCUAUUCAGGAAGGGAUAUCUCCAAGCUGAUAUUUAUAAAUAAGUACACGCGAACAUUUCGGGAAUUUUAAACGAGUAUCGCAUCACUUAAAGCAAACGGAUACUUCUCUCAACUUCCCUUCAACAGGUGCCUAUAACGUGUUGCAUCAUUUCAUAUUCAUGACAAAUUAUAUUUAUCUUUAAAAUUUUAAAUUUAGUACAAAAUGCAUUGUUUUACAUAUACAUUUAUACGGAACAUGAGACGAAAACACGGUCAAAACUUA